UGCAAGUCGAACGGACUCCCGGAUGGGUAACCUGAAGGGAAGUUAGUGGCGAACGGGUGAGUAAUAGAAGGACAACGUACCCCGGACUCGGGAAUAGCGGCGUGUUUCGACUUGUCGGAACACUUUGCGAAAGUGCCGGUAAUACCCGAUAAUCCCGCGAAACCGCCUGGUUUUGCGGGCAAAGCUCCGACGGUCCGGGAGCGGUCCUUCUCCUAUCAGCUUGUUGGUGGGGUAACGGCCUACCAAGGCAACAACGGGUACCGGGUGUGAGAGCAUGACCCGGCACAUCGGAACUGAGACACUGUCCGGACACCUACGGGUGGCUGCAGCAACGAAUAUUCCGCAAUGGGCGAAAGCCUGACGGAGCGACGCCGCGUGCAGGAGGAAGUCCUUCGGGAUGUAAACUGCUGUCAGGGGCUAGAAACACAAUGAUCAGCCCCACAGGAAGCCCCGGCUAACUACGUGCCAGCAGCCGCGGUAAUACGUAGGGGGCAAGCGUUGUUCGGAAUUACUGGGCUUAAAGCGCGUGCAGGCGGAAUGGCAGGUCUUCUGUGAAAUCCCUCGGCUCAACCGAGGAAUUGCUGGGGAAACCGCCAUUCUUGAGGCAGGUAGAGGCGACUGGAACGCGUGGUGGAGCGGUGAAAUGCGUAGAUAUCACACGGAACGCCGGUGGCGAAAGCGAGUCGCUGGGCCUGUCCUGACGCUCAGACGCGAAAGCGUGGGGAGCAAACAGGAUUAGAUACCCUGGUAGUCCACGCCGUAAACGAUGCGCACUAGAUAC
rnacentral:rRNA from 1 species